rnacentral:rRNA from 1 species
UACGUAGGGUGCAAGCGUUGUCCGGAUUUAUUGGGCGUAAAGAGCGUGUAGGCGGUUUGGUAGGUCCGUUGUGAAAACUCGAGGCUCAACCUCGAGACGCCGAUGGAAACCAUCAGACUAGAGUCCGGAAGAGGAAAGUGGAAUUCCCGGUGUAGUGGUGAUAUGCGUAGAUAUCGGGAGGAACACCAGUGGCGAAGGCGGCUUUCUGGGCCUUACCUGACGCUGAGACGCGAAAGCGUGGGGAGCGAACCGG